rnacentral:lncRNA from 1 species
CAUCUUCUCUCUGUUGUUGAGUCUGUCAACAAGGACUUAUUUACUCAAGUAUCCAGGGAAGUUUCCACAUAUCAUGCUCCCCUCUCAGCUCUCAUUUUUAUUCUUUCAUAACACAACUACGAGAAGGGUGGCAACUCCACAAAUAAGACACAAUUUCCCAUUGGAGCAAGGAGAGGAGUUGUGGAGGGAAGAAAGGGGAUUCCCACAAGGCCUGAAGCUGGAUGACAGAGUUUUCUUGAGUAAUUGAGCAGAGCUUCCUCUGACUUGCCUACAGGAAAGGGAACCUCUGCCACUCCAGUGCAGCCUGACAUUCCUGAGAUGCCUCAAGGCACAACUGAACAUAUGGUAUGCACCUGGGUAUGUGGAGCUUGAGGAAGAGCUUCACUCAUCUUUCACCUUCUAUUCUCUGGUGCUGGAUGGGGUCCUCCUUUCUGUUUUUUCUGUUGUUGUUCAUUUAUUUAAUGAUUGGCCCUGAGCUAAUAUCUGUUCCUCGCAGCAGAACAAACAGCACACAGAGCUCCUGUCCUCCCCACCGCUCGCCCCAGGCGCCAGGCUGCCGCCUGGGGUGUAGACGCAGGGAGGGUACUGUAGGGGAGGAAGACAUUUCCUCUCCCCAAAUGUGGGUUCAUCUGGCCGGAGAAUGAAUUAAAUUCACAUGAGACAGAACAGCA